GAUGAACGCUAGCUACAGGCUUAACACAUGCAAGUCGAGGGGCAGCAUGAACAUAGCUUGCUAUGUUUGAUGGCGACCGGCGCACGGGUGCGUAACACGUAUCCAAUCUGCCCGUUACUCGGGGAUAGCCUUCUGAAAGGAAGAUUAAUACCCGAUAGUAUCCAUUAGCGGCAUCGCCUAUGGAUUAAAGAUUUAUCGGUAACGGAUGAGGAUGCGUACGAUUAGCUGGUUGGCGGGGUAACGGCCCACCAAGGCGACGAUAGCUAUCCGGCCUGAGAGGGUGAACGGACACAUUGGGACUGAGAUACGGCCCAGACUCCUACGGGAGGCAGCAGUCGGGAAUAUUGCGCAAUGGAGGAAACUCUGACGCAGUGACGCCGCGUAUAGGAAGAAGGUUUUUCGGAUUGUAAACUAUUGUCGAUAGGGAAGAAAAAGACUGUACCUAUCAAGAAAGCUCCGGCUAACUACGUG
rnacentral:rRNA from 1 species